ensembl:Y_RNA Y_RNA Y RNA
GGCUGGUCUGAAGGUAGUGAGUUAUCUCAAUUGAUUGUUCACAGUCAGUUACAGAUCGAACUCCUUGUUCUACUCUUUCCCCCCUUCUCACUACUGCACUUGACUAGUCUUAA